rnacentral:sRNA from 1 species
UUGCUAUCUGCGAUAUGGAAGAUUCGAACCUGCCGCAGGUUCGGGUCUCACGUAGUGAGACAACGGAGCCGCUUGCGGCGACGGCCCGAAGGGCGAGCAAAGCGCUGAUGAAUCCCCUAAUGAUUUUUA